UCAGUUGUAGUUAUAAGACGAUAUGACAGGUGGAUAACUGUGGAAAUCUAGAGCUAAUACAUGCACAAUAGUCCUGACGCAAGAAAGGACGCAUUUAUCAGAUCAAAGCCAAUGUUUUCGAAAGAAUUCUAAACUGUGAUGACUCUGGGUAAAUUAUCGGAUUGAUCUGCUUUUAAGCAGAUGACGUUGAUUGCAAGUGUCUGACCUAUCAACUUUUGAUGGCAGUCGACAUUACUGCCAUGGUUGUAACGGGUAACGGGGAAUCAGGGUUCGAUUCCGGAGAGAGAGCAUGAGAAAUGGCUGUCACAUCCAAGGAAGGCAGCAGGCGCGCAAAUUACCCAAUCCCUGAUCGGGGAGGUAGUGACGAGAAAUAUCAGUACCGGCUUCUUGUUUGGUAAUUGAAAUGAGAACAAUGAAAGAAUUUUAUCGAGUAUCUAUUGGAGGGCAAGCUCUGGUGCCAGCAGCCGCGGUAAUACCAGCUCGAAAAGCGUAUGUUAAAGUUGCUGCGGUUAAAACGCUCGUCGUUGGACAUCAGGAAAAACUCCACGGACGAUCGAGUAUCGUUUCUGUGGAGCUAUUCCUUUAUACACCUAUUCUCUGUCGUGCACUUUAAUGUGUGGGAUGGUAGAUGGUGAUUGUCACUUUGAGAAAAUUAGUGUGCUCAAAACAGGCUUUAUGCUUGUAUAAUGCUGCAUGGGAUGACGGAAUAGGGCCUCGGUUCCGUUUCGUUGGCUUACGAAAGCAGAGGUCAUGAUUAAUCGGGACAGACGGGGGCAUUCGUAUUGUGGUGCUAGAAGUGAAAUUCUGUGACCAUCGCAAGACGAACAACUGCGAAAGCAUUUGCCAAGAAUGUUUUCAUUAAUCAAGAACGAAAGUUAGAGGAUCGAAGACGAUUAGAUACCGUCCUAGUUCUAACUGUAAACUAUGCCGACUGGGGAUUCGCCAGUGUUUACAAACUUGGCGAGCACCCUCCGGGAAACCAAAGUGAUUGGUUCCGGGGAGAGUAA
rnacentral:rRNA from 1 species